rnacentral:rRNA from 1 species
CCUACGGGUGGCAGCAGUGAGGAAUCUUGGUCAAUGGGCGAGAGCCUGAACCAGCCAAGUCGCGUGAAGGAUGAAGGAUCUAUGGUUUGUAAACUUCUUUUAUAUGGGAAUAAAGUGAGGUACGUGUUCCUUUUUGUAUGUACCAUAUGAAUAAGCAUCGGCUAACUCCGUGCCAGCAGCCGCGGUAAUACGGAGGAUGCGAGCGUUAUCCGGGUUUAUUGGGUUUAACGGGUGCGUAGGUGGUUGAUUAAGUCAGCGGUGAAAGUUGGGGGCUCAACCAUAGAACUGCUGUGGAAACUGGAUGACUUGAGUAUAUGUGAGGUAGGCGGAAUUCGUGGUGUAGCGGUGAAAUGCAUAGAUAUCAGGCAGAACUCCGAUGGCGAAGGCAGCUUACUAAACUAUAACUGACGCUGAAGCACGAAAGCGUGGGGAGCAAACAGGAUUAGAUACCCGGGUAGUC